rnacentral:rRNA from 1 species
ACUGAACGCUGGCGGCAGGCCUAACACAUGCAAGUCGAGCGGUAGCACAGGGAGCUUGCUCCUGGGUGACGAGCGGCGGACGGGUGAGUAAUGUCUGGGAAACUGCCUGAUGGAGGGGGAUAACUACUGGAAACGGUAGCUAAUACCGCAUAACGUCGCAAGACCAAAGAGGGGGACCUUCGGGCCUCUUGCCAUCAGAUGUGCCCAGAUGGGAUUAGCUAGUAGGUGGGGUAACGGCUCACCUAGGCGACGAUCCCUAACUGGUCUGAGAGGAUGACCAGCAACACUGGAACUGAGACACGGUCCAGACUCCUACGGGAGGCAGCAGUGGGGAAUAGUGCACAAUGGGCGCAAGCCUGAUGCAGCCAUGCCGCGUGUAUGAAGAAGGCCUUCGGGUUGUAAAGUACUUUCAGCGGGGAGGAAGGUGUUGAGGUUAAUAACCUCAGCAAUUGACGUUACCCGCAGAAGAAGCACCGGCUAACUCCGUGCCAGCAGCCGCAGUAAAAC